UUAGUGUGAAUCAUUCGGACAAUCGGGUUGUAGAGCCUGAUCCAGCCAUCCCGCGUGAAGGAUGACGGCCCUAUGGGUUGUAAACUUCUUUUGUAUAGGGAUAAACCUAGAUACGUGUAUCUAGCUGAAGGUACUAUACGAAUAAGCACCGGCUAACUCCGUGCCAGCAGCCGCGGUAAUUAAA
rnacentral:rRNA from 1 species